GACGAACGCUGGCGGUGUGCUUAACACAUGCAAGUCGAACGGUAAGGCCCUUUCGGGGGUACACGAGUGGCGAACGGGGGAGUAACACGUGAGUAACCUGCCCUCAUCUCUGGGAUAACAGUCGGAAACGGUUGCUAAUACUGGAUAUGAGCUUGCAAGGCAUCUUGUGGGUUGGAAAGAUUUUUUUGGUUGGGGAUGGACUCGCGGCCUAUCAGCUUGUUGGUGAGGUAGUGGCUCACCAAGGCUUCGACGGGUAGCCGGCCUGAGAGGGCGACCGGCCACAUUGGGACUGAGAUACGGCCCAAACUCCUACGGGAGGCAGCAGUGGGGAAUAUUGCACAAUGGACGGAAGUCUGAUGCAGCAACGCCGCGUGCGGGAUGACGGCCUUCGGGUUGUAAACCGCUUUCAAUUGUGACGAAGCUUUUUGUGACGGUAGCAGUAGAAGAAGCACCGGCUAACUACGUG
rnacentral:rRNA from 1 species